ACCUCCACUCCUAAACAACAAGAUAAAAUGGCAUAAUGGAAAAAAACUGCUGUAUGGCGAUUCUGUGACUUAACAGAAAAUGAAUUACAAAACAUACUACAGAAGAAAGAAAAAACUCACGGAAAUGUAUAUUAAUUGAAGACGGAUCAUUUUGGAUACGUGGAAGGAUAGAGGUGAACUGGGGAAUGCAAUACUUCAUCUUUACAGAACUGACCCUUUCUCUUUAUAACUUGACCCCCUUUGUUGAUACUGUACUUGUACUACUGUAUUCAAAUUUACAGGGCUCACAGAGUCCUUGUGACAGCGCUCCAUCACAUGUACCUUCUAGUCCCUCUUUUGCAACUUUGCUGUUUCUGUACACAUAAAAUGUUAUCGGACAUGCACAGCACUGUAAAAUGGGUCAAAGCAGUGUAUUAUUUAAGAAAUCAAAGCCCUUUCUUUAUAACAUUAAUGUCCGGUAUACAGCAGAGUAUGAAUGAGUAAUUUUUUAAAUGCUAAUGUUAUCUCAAACAGCCAAAACCAGCAACUUUUGUUUUGUCAGUGUGGGUUUCAAAUAAAGAAAUGUGUGUCAGGCUA